GUCUUAAACAAGUUCAUGAGGCAGAAGGAGCACUUGUGCAAAGGCAGGGAGACAGGGGACACCGCAACUUAUCCUGAGAACUAGAAGAAUGAUGGGAGCCCGGGGGUGCGGAGUGAAACCACUAGAGAUCAGAAAAUUAUUCUCUGGGGUAUCUGACCACUUCCAGAGGAAAGACAUAAAGAUGCUGAUGUCAAGAAUGACCCAACUAAACGGCCCAGCCACAUGACCCAGUUGAAGCUGGUGGACAAGAAGUUUCAUUCAUGGAAUCAGAACUUCCAAUAAGGUCUUUUAGUACCUCACUCCUAAAUUUGAAUAGACUACCAAAGAUUAUCAGACAUCUAAGGAGAACUACCAGCAUGAAAGGUAGAGACCAAAGCAAACAAACAAACAAAGAAAAUAAUUUGGAACUAACCAAGACUAUGCUGGGAGAAGAAAACUAUUAUUAAUAUCCACAGAGCGUAGUACAGCCACUAUGGAGAACAGUAUGGAGGUUCCUCUAAAGACUAAAAAUAGAACCAUCAUAAUUCAACAAUCCCACUGCUAGAUAUAUACCCCAAAGAAAGGAAAUCAGUAUAUUGAAAAGAUAUCUGCACUCUCAUGUUUACUGUAGCACUAUUCAUAAUAGCCAAGAUUUGGAAGCAACUUAAGUGUCCAUCAACAGAUGAACAGAUUUUUUUUAAAUGUGGUACAUAUACACAAUGGAGUACUAUUCAGCCAUAAAAAAGAAUGAGAAAUGUCAUUUGCAACAACAUGGUUGGAACUGGAGGACCUUAUGUUAAGUGAAAUAAGCCAGGCCCAAAAAAGCAAAUUUCACAUGUU
rnacentral:lncRNA from 1 species